rnacentral:tRNA from 2 species
AGCUCCAUGGUAUAAUGGUUUGUACUCUGGAUUUUGAAUCCAGCAAUCUGAGUUCAAAACUCAGUGGAGCCA